UACAGAGGGUGCAAGCGUUAAUCGGAAUUACUGGGCGUAAAGCGCGCGUAGGUGGUUUGUUAAGUUGAAUGUGAAGGCCCCGGGCUCAACCUGGGAACUGCAUCCAAAACUGGCAAGCUAGAGUACGGUAGAGGGUGGUGGAAUUUCCUGUGUAGCGGUGAAAUGCGUAGAUAUAGGAAGGAACACCAGUGGCGAAGGAGACCACCUGGACUGAUACUGACACUGAGGUGCGAAAGCGUGGGGAGCAAACAGG
rnacentral:rRNA from 1 species